rnacentral:misc_RNA from 1 species
GCUGGAUCCCUCGCCGAGUCGCUGAAAUCGAAAGAUCAAUUCAAAAUGCCCUCGCCGACGCCCUUUACAAACGCCUCGAAUAUGCUCCGGCACCGCCUUCUCCCUUCUCUCCGCACCCGCGGUGGAGCCGCCGCCGGACAGAGCCGGUGGACCAGUCCCGGUCACGAGGAGCGCCCCAAAGGGUAUCUUUUCAAUCGGACGCCACCUCCACCAGGUGAGUCCCGUAAAUGGGAGGAUUGGG